AUAUCGCGAGGUGUCAGCCGCCGCGGUAAUACGUAGGGGGCGAGCGUUAUCCGGAUUUAUUGGGCGUAAAGCGUGUGUAGGCGGUUUGUUAAGUUUAAGAUUAAAGCCCGGGGCUCAACUCCGGUAAGUCUUAAAAACUGGCAGACUUGAGUACGGUAGAGGCAAACGGAAUUUCUAGUGUAGCGGUGAAAUGCGUAGAUAUUAGAGGAACACCAGUGGCGAAAGCGGUUUGCUGGGCCGUUACUGACGCUGAGGCACGAAAGCGUGGGGAGCAAAUAGGAUUAGAUACCCUAGUAGUCCACGCCGUAAACGAUGAGUACUAAGUGUUGGGGUUACCCAGUGCUGAAGCUAACGUAUUAAGUACUCCGCCUGAGUAGUACGGUCGCAAGGCUGAAACUCAAAUGAAUUGACGGG
rnacentral:rRNA from 1 species